UACGAAGGGGGCUAGCGUUGCUCGGAAUCACUGGGCGUAAAGGGUGCGUAGGCGGGUCUUAAGUCAGGGGUGAAAUCCUGGAGCUCAACUCCAGAACUGCCUUUGAUACUGAAGAUCUUGAGUUCGGGAGAGGUGAGUGGAACUGCGAGUGUAGAGGUGAAAUUCGUAGAUAUUCGCAAGAACACCAGUGGCGAAGGCGGCUCACUGGCCCGAUACUGACGCUGAUGCACGAAAGCGUGGGGAUCAAACAGG
rnacentral:rRNA from 1 species